AUUCUGCUGCCAGAGGAAUGGAGAAAAACGCGUUAGCAAUGUCAGCAGUGGUGUACCACUUUGCUGCCUUGGAUCCAGCUCGUACUGGAGUUCCAGCACGUCCGGCACAGCAGCGCUCAGCGGUGGAGUCACUUCAUUCAAUGCCUGCUCAUGGAUCAUUUUGUGGAUGGGGAUCACGGCAUCUCAAUUCGUCCGAUACUGCCGAUGGUGCCCUGCCAAGGUGGCAAUCGGUACUCGUUGCUUUUCUACUUUCAGGAGUCCUACUGCAGAUGGGUUUUCUGACAGUCCAGGCAAGGUGCUCAAUUGCUUGAUGCCUUCUGUCUCUACAGCAGCUAUUUUAAAUGCUUAUCUGAGUCUCUGGGUCUUUGAAAUACCCACUUCAGAGGAAGUCUAUGCUUAAAAUGCAUGGGGUCUCUGGGCCAGUCACAAUAGGGGGAUUCUUCUACUCAUUUCCAGUCAGGCUCACUUCAGCUUCUACCAGAGUGAAAUCCUGGGAUCCCCCCCUGUCACACUAGCAAUAGAAACAGAUUCUGUCUUUA